rnacentral:rRNA from 1 species
UACGUAGGGUGCGAGCGUUGUCCGGAAUUACUGGGCGUAAAGAGCUCGUAGGUGGUUUGUCGCGUUGUCCGUGAAAACUCACAGCUUAACUGUGGGCGUGCGGGCGAUACGGGCAGACUAGAGGCAUUCAGGGGAGAACGGAAUUCCUGGUGUAGCGGUGAAAUGCGCAGAUAUCAGGAGGAACACCGGUGGCGAAGGCGGUUCUCUGGGAAUGUUCUGACGCUGAGGAGCGAAAGUGUGGGGAGCGAACAGG